GACGAACGCUGGCGGCGUGCUUAACACAUGCAAGUCGAGCGGAAAGGCCCUGCUUUUGUGGGGUGCUCGAGUGGCGAACGGGUGAGUAACACGUGAGUAACCUGCCCUUGACUUUGGGAUAACUUCAGGAAACUGGGGCUAAUACCGGAUAGGAGCUCCUGCUGCAUGGUGGGGGUUGGAAAGUUUCGGCGGUUGGGGAUGGACUCGCGGCUUAUCAGCUUGUUGGUGGGGUAGUGGCUUACCAAGGCUUUGACGGGUAGCCGGCCUGAGAGGGUGACCGGCGACGGGGGAGCGGGGCGGCGGACCGUGCGACUGGGGGAGGCAGCGUGGGGGCAGGUUGGCGAGUGGGCGGACGUGUGGGGCAGAGGCGCGGGGCGGGGGGGGGCGGCGUUCGUGUGGUAGCCCGCGUUCGCGUGUGCGGGGGCGGGCUGGCCGGGAAGGGGAAGAGAAGCACCGGCAAAUAGCGGGCGAGCGGCGGCGGAAUAACGGGAAGACCGCCCGUCUGACC
rnacentral:rRNA from 1 species